rnacentral:tRNA from 1 species
UGGGGAGUCGUCUAAUGGCAAGACGCCACCCUCUGGAGGUGGUUAUCGGGGUUCGAGUCCCUGCUCCCCAG